CUGGCAGUUUCACUGUCCGAGUUGUAAUUUGAAGAAGGUAUUUCUUUCUCGGGUCUGGCGCUUUGUCUAUGUUCCUUGGAACAGGACGUCACAGAGGGUGAGAAUCCCGUGCGACGGGCUGCCCAGAUCCGUGUAAAGUUCCUUCGAAGAGUCGAGUUGUUUGGGAAUGCAGCUCUAAGUGGGUGGUAAAUUCCAUCUAAAGCUAAAUAUUGGCGAGAGACCGAUAGCGAACAAGUACAGUGAUGGAAAGAUGAAAAGAACUUUGAAAAGAGAGUGAAAAAGUACGUGAAAUUGUUGAAAGGGAAGGGCAUGCGAUCAGACUUGGUAUUUUGUACGUCUUGUCUUCGGGCGGGGCCUCUGCAGCUUGCUGGGCCAGCAUCGGUUCGGGUGGCAGGACAAUUGCGGAGAAAUGUGGCACGGCCUCGGUUGUGUG
rnacentral:rRNA from 1 species